AACGAACGCUGGCGGCAGGCUUAACACAUGCAAGUCGAGCGCCCCGCAAGGGGAGCGGCAGACGGGUGAGUAACGCGUGGGGAUGUACCCAAAGGUUCGGAAUAACUCAGGGAAACUUGAGCUAAUACCGUAUGUGCCCGAGAGGGGAAAGAUUUAUCGCCUUUGGAUCAACCCGCGUCAGAUUAGCUAGUUGGUAGGGUAACGGCCUACCAAGGCGACGAUCUGUAGCUGUCUGAGAGGAUGAUCAGCCACACUGGGACUGAGACACGGCCCAGACUCCUACGGGAGGCAGCAGUGGGGAAUAUUGGACAAUGGGCGCAAGCCUGAUCCAGCCAUGCCGCGUGAGUGAUGACGGCCUUAGGGUUGUAAAGCUCUUUUAACGGGGACGAUAAUGACGGUACCCGUAGAAUAAGCCCCGGCUAACUUCGUGCCAGCCGCCGCCGUAA
rnacentral:rRNA from 1 species